CAAUUACCAAAGGAUACGGAAAAUACAACAAAUAAUUUGUUUACCUAAACCAAAGAUUUGUCAUAAAAUGUCUGUCUGUCACUACCAUGCCAUGGGAAGUUCAUAAAACAUGUAGGUAUGUCAUUUAUUUACGGCAUAUUACAUGCCGUGGUAGUGGCGCACACAUCUUUUACAUUUACAUCGAAUAAUCUAUAUCUUCUCUUCGGGCACUGCGAUGCUUACUUUCUUUUACAAAAGUCUUUAAAUUUAAGCUGGUGGUGGUGGUUUUAGAGGGGCAAACAGGCAAGAGGAUCACCUGAUGUCGGCCUUUUAAGAAUUGGUACGCUUUUUUCUGGAAGGAUCCUAAGUCGAAUUGGUAAUAACCAAUAGAAAACUAGAAAAUGGACGGUUUGUCUACAUAUAUCAAUACAUUAUAGAUUUUUUUUAAUACGCCUGCAGCGAAAAUUCCUUGGAGGUUUUUCAAUCAAACUCCCCCGAGACAUCUACAAUAUCAGUAUCUUCAAAUUCGUGUACAAUGAUUUCAAAGUUCCAAUUAUGAAUUUGGAACACGAAUAUUAUUUAAAAA